GAUGAACGCUGGCGGCGUGCCUAAUACAUGCAAGUCGAGCGAAUGGAUUAAGAGCUUGCUCUUAUGAAGUUAGCGGCGGACGGGUGAGUAACACGUGGGUAACCUGCCCAUAAGACUGGGAUAACUCCGGGAAACCGGGGCUAAUACCGGAUAAUAUUUUGAACUGCAUGGUUCAAAAUUGAAAGGCGGCUUCGGCUGUCACUUAUGGAUGGACCCGCGUCGCAUUAGCUAGUUGGUGAGGUAACGGCUCACCAAGGCAACGAUGCGUAGCCGACCUGAGAGGGGGAUCGGCCACAAUGGGACUGAGACACGGCCCAGACUCCUACGGGAGGCAGCAGUAGGGAAUCUUCCGCAAUGGACGAAAGUCUGACGGAGCAACGCCGCGUGAGUGAUGAAGGCUUUCGGGUCGUAAAACUCUGUUGUUAGGGAAGAACAGGUGCUAGUUGAAUAAGCUGGCACCUUGACGGUACCUAACCAGAAAGCCACGGCUAACUACGUGCCAGCCGCCGCGGUAA
rnacentral:rRNA from 1 species